rnacentral:rRNA from 1 species
CCUACGGGACGCACCAGUGGGGAAUAUUGGACAAUGGGCGCAAGCCUGAUCCAGCCAUGCCGCGUGAGUGAAGAAGGCCUUAGGGUUGUAAGCUCUUUCACCGGUGAAGAUAAUGACGGUAACCGGAGAAGAAGCCCCGGCUAACUUCGUGCCAGCAGCCGCGGUAAUACGAAGGGGGCUAGCGUUGUUCGGAAUUACUGGGCGUAGAGCGCGCGUAGGCGGAUAGAUAAGUCAGAUGUGAAAUCCCGGGGCUCAACCCCGGAAUUGCCUUCGAUACUGUUUAUCUUGAGUGCAGAAGAGGUAAGUGGAAUUCCGAGUGUAGAGGUGAAACUCGUAGAUAUUCGGAGGAACACCAGAGGCGAAGGCGGCUUACUGGUCUGCAACUGACGCUGAGGCGCGAAAGCGUGGGGAGCAAACAGGAUUAGAUACCCUCGUAGUC